rnacentral:rRNA from 1 species
AAACCAACAGGGAUUGCCUUAGUAACGGCGAGUGAAGCGGCAAAAGCUCAAAUUUGAAAUCUAGCACUUUCAGUGUUCGAGUUGUAAUUUGAAGAAGGUAUCUUUGGAGUUGGCCCCUGUCUAUGUUCCUUGGAACAGGACGUCACAGAGGGUGAGAAUCCCGUGCGAUGGGGAGACCAAUUCUAUGUAAAGUUCCUUCGAAGAGUCGAGUUGUUUGGGAAUGCAGCUCUAAGUGGGUGGUAAAUUCCAUCUAAAGCUAAAUAUUGGCGAGAGACCGAUAGCGAACAAGUACAGUGAUGGAAAGAUGAAAAGAACUUUGAAAAGAGAGUGAAAAAGUACGUGAAAUUGUUGAAAGGGAAGGGCUUUUGAUCAGACUUGGUGUUUAGUACUCUCUACUCCUUGUGGGUGGGGCUCUUGCUUUAUACUGGGCCAGCAUCGGUUUGGAUGGCAGGAUAAUGACUUUGGAAUGUGGCUUCAUUCGUGGAGUGUUAUAGCCUUUGUUGAUACUGCCUAUCUAGACCGAGGACUGCGUCUUUUGACUAGGAUGCUGGCGUAAUGAUUAAAAGCCGC